rnacentral:rRNA from 1 species
AAAACUUUCAACAACGGAUCUCUUGGCUCUGGCAUCGGAUGAAGAACGGCAGCGAAAUGCGAUACGUAGUGUGAAUUGCAGAAUUUAGUGAAUCAUCGAAUCUUUGAACGCACAUUGCGCCCGCCAGUAUUCUGGCGGGCAUGCCUGUUCGAGCGUCAUUU